rnacentral:lncRNA from 1 species
UAUGUGAAACUAGAUUCAUUAGGCUUUAAUUUCAUAUUUUAUUUUGUAACACCCCAAACCUGGCCCAAACGUUAUGGCCAAGUCUGAUGUGUCACAUUGACUUACGGUUGAAUGUGUUCUUUGUUUAUGGUAAUCAGGGUGAUUUUGUAAAACAAUGAUUAAUUGCUGACUAAGAAAAAAAAAACACUGAUUAAUUAAGUCUUUAGGUUAUCCAUUUGUUACGCUCGUUGUGUUUGAAAUCGUUUAUUAAUUUUUGAACAAAAAC